AUACGUAGGGAGCAAGCGUUAUCCGGAUUUAUUGGGUGUAAAGGGUGCGUAGACGGAUAAACAAGUUAGUUGUGAAAUACCUCGGCUUAACUGAGGAACUGCAACUAAAACUAUAUAUCUUGAGUACUGGAGGGGAAAGCGGAAUUCCUAGUGUAGCGGUGAAAUGCGUAGAUAUUAGGAAGAACACCGGUGGCGAAGGCGGCUUUCUGGACAGCAACUGACGUUGAGGCGCGAAAGUGUGGGGAGCAAACAGGAUUAGAUACCCUGGUAGUCCACACCGUAAACGAUGGAUACUAGGUGUUGGCUGUGAUGAGCAGUCAGUGCCGUCGCAAACGCAGUAAGUAUCCCACCUGGGGAGUACGACCGCAAGGUUGAAACUCAAAGGAAUUGACGGGG
rnacentral:rRNA from 1 species